CCAGCCACAGCACUUUGCCAACAACGUCUGCUCUGGCAGGACCAGGAGAGAUGUUUGUGUGAUUUCCCCAGCGCCUGGUACUGAGGCAUCGCAGACAUGGGCACUGCUGUGAGAAACAUUGCACUAAGGAAGGACACAGAAACAGCCUGCACUUCAACCCUGCUGGAAGGAGCAUCUAAUUCAACUGCCCAUCCUUAGUCCAGGAGGAAUUAAUUUGACACCUCAGCAACUUAAUAAAAAGCAUUAAACACA